rnacentral:rRNA from 1 species
AACGAACGUUAGCGGCGCGCCUAACACAUGCAAGUCGAACGCGAUUGGGGGCAACUCCAGUCGAGUGGCGCACGGGUGAGUAACACGUAGGUAAUCUCCCCCCGAGUGGUGGAUAACCCUCCGAAAGGAGAGCUAAUACAGCAUGAGACCACGGCUUCGAAAGGAGCUGAGGUCAAAGCGGAGGUCGCAGGACUUCGCGCUUGGGGAUGAGCCUGCGGCCCAUCAGGUAGUUGGCGGGGUAUGGCCCACCAAGCCAUAGACGGGUAGCUGGUCUGAGAGGAUGAUCAGCCACACUGGAACUGAGACACGGUCCAGACUCCUACGGGAGGCAGCAGUGGGGAAUCUUGCGCAAUGGACGAAAGUCUGACGCAGCGACGCCGCGUGGGUGAUGAAGGCCUUCGGGUUGUAAAGCCCUGUGGGGAGGGACGAAUAAGUUCCGGUCAAUACCCGGAGCGAUGACGGUACCUCCUUAGCAAGCACCGGCUAACUCUGUGCCAGCAGCCGCGGUAACAC